ensembl:snRNA U1 U1 spliceosomal RNA
AUGCAUAGCUGAGAGGGGAACUACCAUUAUCACCAGGUCUAUUGUAGGCUAAGAAAUGGUUUUCCCAGGGUGAGACCUAUCCCUUGCUCUCUAGGCAUGCAAACUCCUGCAAGUUUCCCCAAAUGCAAGAGACCUGACUACACAAUUUUAUGGAAAUGGUGGACUGCUUUCUUGGUUUUCCCCUG